rnacentral:rRNA from 1 species
AUGAUAACACCCUUAAGACCUUAUUCUCCAUCUCAAAAGUGCUUAUUUCUGCUAACACUUCUACACUGGACAAAACACCAAACCGAACCUACCGGAGACCGAACCGGCCUGCAACAAAAACAAAGACCACCCAACCCCCACCGACACCCACCUUCAUCCUCUGCCAAAUCCCCCCGUCCUCCCCGGCAGCAGCCCACAGCCCGUCGGAGCCCUAACCCCGCGCCGCCAGAGCAUCGUCCCACCCUCUCCUCCACCUUCUUCCAGCUCCGCCGGAGUCCCGCCCACCCCCGCCUCCUUCCGGCUGCAACCCUGUGCCACCACUUCACCUGCUGCGUCGUGCGAGGCGAGCAGGGCCUUCCUCGUGCCCAUCUCCCUCCCCCGGAGACUACCUUCCCUCGUCUCCCAACGAGCAGCUNNNNNNNNNNNNNNNNNNNNNNNNNNNCCCCCGUCCACCCUCGAGCAGCAGCCGGCGGGAUCCUCCCGCACCUUCCUCCUCCCACCCCCCGCCUAGCCACCUACCUGGCCCCUGCGACCACUGGAUCCGGCGGGAUCCUCCUCCCAUGCCUUUCCGGCGACGCGACCAUUCGAAACAGAGGGGCGGCGUCCCCUCACCCCCGUCCUCCGCCCCCCUCCCCACGCCAACGGGCUGCGGUGGUCGCCGGAUCCGGGCGCCUCCAUCUUCCAAAGGUCGCUGGCUUUUCCUCUAUCUCGUUUUCGUUGCUGGAUCCGGCUUCUGUCUCGCCCGUGGGCAUCAACGGCCGCCGCGUUGACCAGGGGGAAAAAGGACUGCACCCCACUCCCUUCCCAUCGAACUUCAUCUCCGCCCGUACAGUGCGGACGCCCUGUUCUCAUUCAGAUCGGGGCGAUGGCUUCCUCCCUCAAGCUCCUCCUUCCCUCACCGGCGAUAAAGCACGGGAGUCAUGCUACAUGCGGUUCAGUUGCCGGAUUUGUGGAUUGAUUGUUCUCCUCUUCAGUUCGGCGACCCCAGCCACGAUGUGUCCGUUCCGUCGGCUUGUGUGCAGCUCAGUUACAACAGUGCGGUCAGUACCGGAUUCGGGUGAGCUCGCCUCCGUGCGGUUCGCCGGCGUGUCCGUGUAG